AUGGAGGCAAUGGUCAGUUCGGAAAGAUCCAUUUACAAGACAGGAGACACAUUGCUGGUGAAGAGUGUGAGUCUCCCAAAGCCUGCAGGAGUGACUGAUGAUGUGUAUGUUGAUGAGGUGGCCUUCCUCACCACCCCAACUUCUGUGACACAGAUGUACCCGCCCGCCCUCAAGCAGAAGGGAAUCCUUAUUGAGGAUGUGGCAGUCAAGAAGGUGACAGAGAAUGGGUACUCCCUGGAAUUCCAGACCACAAACUGCAAGACUGGAAUGCCCCUCCUUGGUCUCCUGCAGGUGGAAGGUCCUCCAGCAAGCUUUGACACUCAGGUGACAGUCACAUGCUCCUCUCAGACUGCCACGGGUCCCCUCGCUGGCAACUGGGACCUCGGAAUUCAGGGGCAGGUUGUAAAAGACAUUCCAGCAGGUGUUGACCCAAAGGUCCUGGAGGGCAUUCUGGAAAGUGCCCUGGGAACUGAUCUCACAGUCCAGUACUCCGGCUCCUGCAAGAACUACCACUACUACAUUGAGUGGGAGGAAGAUCCCGGCAGAAAGGAGCUGGUGGAGAUACACACAGAUAACCUGAUGUUUGAUGGGCAAGGGGCUGCAGCACACCCUCACCCUGAGUGGCAUGGCCAUCACUGCCACCCAGCUCACCUGCACUGUAGCACUGUGGGGCGGCUUGCAUUCAGUGGCACUCAGCAUGCAGCCGGCUGGCUCGGCACUGCUCCCCUCCCCCAUCAUCUACAUGGUGCCAGUCACCGUGGUUGCACUCAGCAUCACGGAGGGAAGCACUGGUGGACAGUAUCCUCUCACUGUGACUGGCACUGGCUUCCCAGACAGUGAUGGGUGGGAGGCUGGCAGUGCCAUUAUGACUCUGGGUGGCAAGAAGUGUGUGGUUAUCUCUGGUGGACCCACAGAGGUCACCUGCACAGUGCCUGCUGGUGAGGCACGGUGGAUGUGGUGGUGGAUGUGGGCAGCACAAGUGGCUCCCUCCCUUCCUCCUUCACUUAUGACGUCUCACUGUCACCCACCAUCAUUGGCCUUUCCCUCCACACCCUCUCCCUCUUUG